CACAAGCUGAGAUGUAUUAAGUCUCUUGUGAUUUUGAACCUACAUUUGAAUAAAAGGGAUUCCUACAUCAUUACAUUGAAGUCAAGCCUCGUUAUAUAAGUUCUAGUGGACGGCUGAUAUGUAGUUGCGGUUGCCCACCUAGCUCUGCUAGGACUCAAAAGCAAGGGCGCAUUUCAGUUUAUUA
rfam:Coprococcus eutactus CAG:665 genomic scaffold, scf119